rnacentral:lncRNA from 1 species
GGUGGGGUGGACUCCGGGGCUUUGAAAUCUCUAAAGAGUGGUGACUCACCUCUCCUAGAAAUUGCCCUGGUUAUAUCAUAAAAGGGCUCAAUUUUUACAUGAGGUCUCAAUGGUCUUUUUACUUAACGUGACAUCAUUAGAAUACAAAGUCUUUAUGUCUGUGAUUUUCCAUUUAGUAGUUUCAGAUACAGUUGACCAUGGGUAACUGACACUGCAGAAAGCAAAACCUUGGACAAGAGGGCACUACUCUACCAUGACAGGAGAAGCAUAGAACUCUCAAUUGUGGGAGACGAGGAGUAGUGUUAGGACAUUUCCCAGGGGGAUGUUAUUCUGGGUUAUAAAGGUCAUGAGAAGUGCCUGUCCCUCCAAGGGUGCAACGGUGACCAGAAGAAAGCUCUUAGGCAUGGGUGGGCUUGCUGUGGAUCUCAUCAUCCUGCUUCUACAUGAGCCAAAGGCAAGCCAGUCUCAGGUGCAUGGCCGGCCCCCCGAGAUGGAGCUCAUGGUGAGGGACCAGCCAAGUCAAUCACAUCUGCCUUGGUAGAUGGAGCCAGCAGCAGGAAAAGAAGCUGAGAGCCACGGAAGGAAGGUAGUGAGCAGCAGCCACGGGACCACAGAUAUGAGGCCACUCAUAAAGCAGACCCAGGAGGCAGAGAAGAGGCUAAACAGUGAGCCUGGGACAAAGGAGCCCAUGGAGAGAAUCAAAGGUGGAGAUGGAGGCCACAGGCAUCAUGGGGCCACUGGAGUGGAGACAGCUUCAGAGGGUUCUGGC